AUCAUCAUGGCCUCUCAUCGUCAGUCGGUGUCUGAACACAGUUGAACGCGGAAGUGAGUAGGACGAGGAGGAGGCAGCGAUCGAGCUGUCAAAAGGAAAACGAGUUUUUGUGUCCGGGCGUCUCUCUCUCUCUCGCUCGUGUGUGUGUUAUCGUUCGGUCUUCGAUGUUCUACUGUAACCGAAUUCCUUCUGAAGCUGACUGUAGUAUAGAUGUCCUUUUAUGAGGAGGAGCGGGAGUUGCGUUGCGUUUUGAGUUGGUUCAGCAACUGGGAAACGCCCCAAAAGGAGCAGUUUUUAGCUGUUUUGGUAGAGAAGGCUGUUCCUCCAGAUAUUGACCAGCUGUUUCAGGGCCUAGACCGGCUAAACCUGAACAGCAGUUUCCAGUCAGUCCUGCAGUGCCAACUGCGACUGUUUUCUCAGUGGUUCGACGCAUGGCCUUGCAAGUAUCGCAACCUGUUGCUCGUUAGCCUAGAACUACAGGACCCGAGCUUUGUCGAGAAGUUCCACUAUCUCGUCAAUGAGAAGAACGCCGCAGCAAGUGGACAGAACUAACCUCUUUUCAAUCCAGACACCAACAUGCCCCAGCAGCACACGACAACAGACCAGGUGAAGUUCUUGGCUCAGUGGUUCACCGCCUGGUCAGAGAUGCAGAGGGAGGAUUUCUUGCCCACAUUCUAGUACAGGCCUAUCACCCAAAA